CAAUACUAGAAGUUAUACCACCAGAUUCAGAUUAGCAACGAACUUUUAUUACAGCUAUUCAAGACUAUAUAUGAUGGAUACAACUGGGGGUACAAUCUGGUGGUAAUUCAAAUGGUCCAUUCCGUAUAGUUGAGUUCCGCAAGAUGGUUCAGGCACUUAACCAUAUUGGCCUUCGUGUUGUGCAAUCAUCUGCAAGGAAGUGGGGCCCUCUGUGAACAUUCUCGACGAGGUUAUGAAUUAUCAAGUUUUGCUUGGUCCGCCUGUAAUUGAUUAAAUAUUCUAUA